ensembl:lncRNA
AGAAAUGGAAGUGAAAGAUGGGGUGUUUGGAGGGACAUUUAGCAGCAAUCCAGGCAUGACUGGUCAGUGCUGCUCAGCCAUACUGCUCUCGGGCUGUGCUGUGAUUCCCCAGCUGCUGCUUGGGGACACCUCUGUUUUCAGCCACCAAAACUGCCCUAGUCUGCUCUCCUAGGUCAGACAGAGCAGGACUAAAUGGGGCCCUCUGGAAAGGGAGAUGACUGGAAAAUAAGGUAUAAACAUCUGAAAUAAGAGAACUUUGAGCAAUAACAGCCAGACUUUGCGCAUCUGGAAGAUGUAUGCACAUCCACAGAAAUUCAGACACUGCCUUCUGGUCCUCCAGUCCUUCCCAGACGACAGUCUUGUCCUCUUCAGCAUUACCAACCCUGUGCCACUUCAUACUGCGGACAAGUGUCUUAACCUUACAUCAAGUUCUUGUGCCAAGUUCAAUAAUGAGAAAAUCAGAUAGUCUCGGUUUCCAAACCCGUCCCUGAAGAACACCACUAACCUCACUUAUCCUGACCGUUCCUUGACACUCUCACCUGGUCACUGCUCUGAGUCCUGCAUGAAACCUGCUCUCCUCAUUACAUAAAUGUUUGCAACUGUAACUUCAGCAGUGCUCAAGGCCUGUGAACUUCAUAUUCACAUAGCCAAUAACUGACAAGUAUAAUAUUCUAGAGUC